rnacentral:rRNA from 1 species
AAGUCUUGUGCCAACUUGAGGAAGUAAAAGUCGUAACAAGGUCUCCGUUGGUGAACCAGCGGAGGGAUCAUUGCUGGAACGCGCCCCAGGCGCACCCAGAAACCCUUUGUGAACUCAUACCUCUGCUGUUGCCUCGGCGCAUGCCGGCCCCCCCGGGGGCCCCUCGGAGACGAGGAGCAGGCACGCCGGCGGCCAAGUUAACUCUUGUUUUUACACCGAAACUCUGAGCAACAAAAAAAAUGAAUCAAAACUUUCAACAACGGAUCUCUUGGUUCUGGCAUCGAUGAAGAACGCAGCGAAAUGCGAUAAGUAAUGUGAAUUGCAGAAUUCAGUGAAUCAUCGAAUCUUUGAACGCACAUUGCGCCCUCUGGUAUUCCGGAGGGCAUGCCUGUUCGAGCGUCAUUUCAACCCUCAAGCAGCCUUGCUUGGUGUUGGGGCACUGCUCUUUACCCGAGAGCAGGCCCUGAAAUCUAGUGGCGAGCUCGCCAGGACCCCGAGCGCAGUAGUUAAACCCUCGCUCUGGAAGGCCCUGGCGGUGCCCUGCCGUUAAACCCCCAACUCUUGAAAAUUGACCUCGAUCAGAGAUCCUA